rnacentral:tRNA from 1 species
CCAAGGCACUUUGGCGGAGUGGUUAACGCGUUGCCCUGCUAAGGCAAUUCCCUCGGGAGCGUGUGUUCGAAUCACACAGGUGUCGUC